AGAGUUUGAUUCUGGCUCAGAACGAACGCUGGCGGCAUGGAUUAGGCAUGCAAGUUGAACGAACCACUUCGGUGGAGAGUAGCGGAAGGGUGAGGAACGCGUGAGUAAUCUGCCCCCUAGUUGGGAAUAACAGUUGGAAACGACUGCUAAUACCGAAUGUGGCUUCAAUCCUGCAUGGGAUGGAGGCUAAAGAUUUAUCGCUAGGGGAUGAGCUCGCGUCCCAUUAGGUAGUUGGUGAGGUAACGGCCCACCAAGCCGACGAUGGGUAGCUGGUCUGAGAGGAUGGUCAGCCACACUGGGACUGAGACACUGCCCAG
rnacentral:rRNA from 1 species